AGGACGAACGCUGGCGGCGUGCCUAACACAUGCAAGUCGAACGGGACCAGGGGCAACUCUGGUUCAGUGGCGGACGGGUGCGUAACACGUGAGGAACAUGACCUUCGGCGGGGGAUAGCCGGCCCAACGGCCGGGUAAUACCGCGUACGACCACUUGGGGACAUCCCUGGGUGGUGAAAGCAGCAAUGCGCCGAUGGAGUGCCUCGCGGCCUAUCAGCUAGUUGGUGAGGUAACGCUCACCAAGGCACGACGGGUAGCUGGUCUGAGACGGAGUCGACAGCCACUAGUUGGACUGGAGACGACCGGGCCAGACCUCCGUAGGGACGGCAGACGUAGGUAGGGG
rnacentral:rRNA from 1 species